UACGUAGGGUGCGAGCGUUGUCCGGAAUUAUUGGGCGUAAAGGGCUCGUAGGCGGUUUGUCGCGUCGGGAGUGAAAACACACAGCUUAACUGUGUGCUUGCUUCCGAUACGGGCAGACUAGAGGUAUGCAGGGGAGAACGGAAUUCCUGGUGUAGCGGUGAAAUACGCAGAUAUCAGGAGGAACACCGGUGGCGAAGGCGGUUCUCUGGGCAUUACCUGACGCUGAGGAGCGAAAGUGUGGGGAGCGAACAGG
rnacentral:rRNA from 1 species